rnacentral:piRNA from 1 species
GGAAAUAGAUGGUAAAUGUUCCCUUUCA